rnacentral:rRNA from 1 species
CUUGCUUCUCUUGAGAGCGGCGGACGGGUGAGUAAUGCCUAGGAAUCUGCCUGGUAGUGGGGGAUAACGUUCGGAAACGGACGCUAAUACCGCAUACGUCCUACGGGAGAAAGCAGGGGACCUUCGGGCCUUGCGCUAUCAGAUGAGCCUAGGUCGGAUUAGCUAGUUGGUGGGGUAAUGGCUCACCAAGGCGACGAUCCGUAACUGGUCUGAGAGGGUGAUCAGUCACACUGGAACUGAGACACGGUCCAGACUCCUACGGGAGGCAGCAGUGGGGAAUAUUGGACAAUGGGCGAAAGCCUGAUCCAGCCAUGCCGCGUGUGUGAAGAAGGUCUUCGGAUUGUAAAGCACUUUAAGUUGGGAGGAAGGGUUGUAGAUUAAUACUCUGCAAUUUUGACGUUACCGACAGAAUAAGCACCGGCUAACUCUGUGCCAGCAGCCGCGGUAAUACAGAGGGUGCAAGCGUUAAUCGGAAUUACUGGGCGUAAAGCGCGCGUAGGUGGUUUGUUAAGUUGGAUGUGAAAUCCCCGGGCUCAACCUGGGAACUGCAUUCAAAACUGACUGACUAGAGUAUGGUAGAGGGUGGUGGAAUUUCCUGUGUAGCGGUGAAAUGCGUAGAUAUAGGAAGGAACACCAGUGGCGAAAGCGACCACCUGGACUAAUACUGACACUGAGGUGCGAAAGCGUGGGGAGCAAACA